CCGAGAGCUUACAAUAUAAGGACCCUCCGCGUAUAUACGCGAAUACGUUCGCCCCAGGUGCAGUGUAGUUGUCUGGCGAGGUGUUGCACACGCCCCGUACCUCUUACGUCGGACGUGUGUGUAUGUAUUAUACUCACGUGUUUGCGUUACAUUUUGUUCCGGGUGACUUAUUUCUGCCCCUCGUCCCUUACCCCCUCCCCCCUUGCAGUGACUAUUAGUAUACGUGUGACGUAAUACGUUCGUAUCUACUGGCGAUAACAUACCUAAUAUAUAUAUAUAUAGGUUGCGGAAUGGAGUCGAUUAAUUCUUUGUGCGUGGGCGUGUGCGAUUUCGACGAGCGUACUCGAAAAGCCUCGUGAAUAUAUCGCGCAAAAAUAUCGAUCCCCGCUGCGCCGAGUCAAAUAUCUCGAAAAAGGCCUAACCUUUAUUAUCACGUGUAUAGGCGCCCCGUGUGAACUUUC